rnacentral:rRNA from 1 species
UCCAGACUCCUACGGGAGGCAGCAGUGGGGAAUAUUGCACAAUGGGGGGAACCCUGAUGCAGCGACGCCGCGUGGGUGAAGGAGUAUUUCGGUAUGUAAAGCCCUAUCAGCAGGGAAGAACAAUGACGGUACCUGACUAAGAAGCACCGGCUAAAUACGUGCCAGCAGCCGCGGUAAUACGUAGGUGGCAAGCGUUGUCCGGAUUUACUGGGUGUAAAGGGAGCGUAGACGGUCCUGCAAGCCAGAUGUGAAAGCCCGGGGCUCAACCCCGGGACUGCAUUUGGAACUGUAAGGCUAGAGUGUCGGAGAGGCAGGCGGAAUUCCUAGUGUAGCGGUGAAAUGCGUAGAUAUUAGGAGGAACACCAGUGGCGAAGGCGGCCUGCUGGACGAUGACUGACGUUGAGGCUCGAAAGCGUGGGGAGCAAACAGGAUUAGAUACCCCAGUAGAG